GUCUCUUUGGAGACAUAAGAUUAAAAUGAUACUGAUAAGAUUUGCAUGGGCCUUAUGCAAAGAUAACACAAAAAAUGUAGAAAUGGUCCACAUUAAA
rnacentral:snRNA from 1 species